UCGCGCUCUUGCAGCGGACGGGACCGGGCGGGCCGUGCUCCGUCAGAGCGUGCGAGGCGUUCGGCGGCCUGUGGGGGUUCCGUGUCUCCGUUUGCUUUCGUUUGUGUUUUCUGAGGCGGACGCAGUGUGCAAGCGACACCUCGGUUUGCCGUCUGAACAUCCUGAGCCUGCCGCACAGCACGUGGGCCUUCACAUGUAGGAAUGUCGCUCCCCUCGCGUGCCCCAGUCCGCGUCGCACGGUGUGCGGAUCAGCCACAAGCGCCGUGACUGACCAAUAGCCAGUCAGGAAGAGACAUUUUCCUGUACGAACAAUACGUUCCCCCCAUUUAAGAAAUGUAGAUGAGAGACGCAGGAAAUCAUGUUCCAAGAUCUCAGAAAUGUGCAGAAGUCUACCAGAAGAAAAGGAAUUGAGCACCUUACAUUGGCAAGAAUUAUUUCAGAGUGACCCUACAAACAAUUUCUUCACAAGCGUUGCUCACCAAGGGAAAAGUCAUUCUCCCUCUGGCCACAGGGAGCCACACAGCUACCGCUAUGAAUCCAGGGGAAGAUGGGAGAGGAACAAAAGCCAUGGCCUCUUAGCUCCCCUGCCUGGAGUCACAGGAGUUGCUCUAUCCUUGAGGUGACUGUACUGGUUGCACCUGGCCUUCUGUUAGCUGUUUUCUUGCCAGCUCCUGCCGAGAGUAUUUUGUUUGUCUGCUGUUUUUAGCCAGGCGUAUAGAAUGCCUGUGUAGCAAAGUUGCAAGCAAGCGGAGUAAUUAGUGCAGGCUGUCAUCAUAAUUUCUAAGUUUGUUUUUGAGCGCGGCAUUCAGGUCACUUUGCAGCAUGGAGGAUGAUCAUUAACCUGUGAAGCCCUAAGCGACAACAUCAGAGAGCAUGACCCCAGAGCAGAAUCCAUUUGUUAUGUAAUCACCCCAAAUAUGUGAUUCUUAAAUGUUUAACUGUCUCGGUACAGUAAUAAUUCUACACUAGUAGCACCACACACCAGAAAGCAUAAUAAUUACUGACAGUCCAUACCUCUAAGAUAAUUCUAGACCAGACUGUGACAUUAAACUCACUCAACACCAUUAGUUUCUUUACCUAACUGAACUUUAGAGACAGAACUUGUGUUGUACUUUCCUGUUUUCUCCUUAAUAAAUUUCCACCAAGUGUUUGGUAAGCGGAGGGAUCCAAGAAGAGCUUGAACAGAUCUUCAUUCAGGUGAUGGAGGAGAAAACUGAAAAGAUCAGCAACUUGGUGGAGCAGCACCCAGAGAAUAAACUGAUCAAGGUGGAACACAGAGGGAUGAGUGUUUCUGAUUUGUUUUCUUUUCACCGUGUGAUCAUCUUUCUCCAGACAUAAUAUGUACACUGUCUUUGAGGAUUUUAAUUCUCAUUAGGCAUCUAAAUAGAUGUUCUUUCGUUUACUGAGAUACUGAGAACAAGUCAUUGUUCAAUCUCAUUUAUCAGAAUGCCUUAACACUUGCCUAGAUUUUGUCUAAGUAUAAAGACUGAGGCAGUUAUGUUGGACUGGAGAGUCUGCUGCACUGAGGUUUUACUGUGCUGGAUUGGAGAGACCGUGGUGAUAGUGCCAAAGACUUGCCUAGGGUCACAUGAAGCAGCCAUAAAUCAAGCCUGCUCAUCCUGAAUUACUCCAGUCUGCUGCCCCAGCUAGCUCAUUUCUGCUCUUGCAUCAUAACACAGCUGCUUGAAGGUGAAUAUUUGGUCUGUAAAUCUUAAAUCUCAGCCUAAAUGUAACUUCAAUGCUAAAUGUCCCCAGCUUUGUCUGAAAGCUGAUAUUUUCCUAAAUAAAAAGCAUCCCUUAUUUUUCUGUUCUGUAUUUGUAGUGGAGAUGAAGUGCACAGAGCAAGGACUGCUCCUUAGAGGACUUUAGCAAUGCUCUUUGACCAAAUAUUAUUUGACAUUUCCUUUGCCAGUCUGCAAGGCUCCUCAGAGGGCUUAACUACUCUCAUUUCUGCCAAGGAAGCAAAGACACCAUUUCACUUUCCUCAAGCUAAACAGUGUAUGAUGUGCAACAAUUCAGAAUUAAUUUGACAGUAAUGGAGAUGACAAGUAUUACUGUGAGGUAUUUCUGCUAUGAACAUUGCCAUUCUGUCCUCAUUUCACCCCCACCCCCAAGUUUUGGUGUUACAAGGAAUUGCUGAACAGCAGACAGGCUCGUAUACAGGCAAGGCACACUCAUACACUGCUCAGGGAGAGCAGCAGCUUUGGUUUGGGCAGCCUACGUGGGUACAAGAGCCCUGAAGUCCCACAGAAAACUGCAGCACAAGCUUGGAGAGAGAAAUGAAUCAGGCUGGGUGUACAAAAUGCAUAACACGCACAAGUCCAUGGGAAGUAGUAUUUUCUUCUACAAAGACCAGGAUAGGAUCAGAACAAUUUUGGUCACAUGUUUUCGGAAAUAGCGUGGUCUCACACCUUGGUAAGUCACAGGACAUCCAGGGCUGUUUCCACCAGUAAACAGGUAGGAAACUUCCUGGGUCUUUUUCCACUAACAAUGCCCAGAACAAACUGGUGAUUAAAGGAUGCAUUCUCUGUACGUAGCUAAGAAAAACAGAAUGAAUAGCAUUGAAGCCAAGGCAGCCCUAAAGACAGCCACUACUAGCAAUAAUUCCUACCUACCAGAUACACCUUCUCAGCAGAGGUUUAUUCUUCUUCUACCAGUACCCACAGAAAUCAUAGCACAGAGCUGCUCUGGCCUCACUGCCAGUUUCUCAGAUGUGGUCUUUCUUUAACCCCAACUUGCCAUAAUGAUUUUACAGCCUUCCUGUGUAGAUGCAAGCUAAAGACACUUGCUGGAGCUGAUUACUGAAGAAACCCAAACAUAACAGGAAUUCGAAGAUGUGUGAGGGCAGGCAUUACAAGCAAGGGAGAGGCAUGUGAAAAAGUUGGGGAGAAUAUGGCUCAGUCCAGUCUGUUCCUAACCCAUUGCCCCAGUAGUCUUGCUAGAUCAGAAGACAUUUUACCAUUAAAGUUUUUGCUAUCAGAGUUUUUGCCCAUAGCUCAGCCAGGUUUAUCUGGCUGGUGGAAGAAAUUUCCUGAACUUUUAGUACCUUCACAGCUGAACUUAAUCCUGUACUAAGCAUUAACAUGAAGUCUCAGCCUUAUUUAAGUCAAUAGGUGCUUCAUCUCUAACUUCACUCUGAAUAGCUAGUGUAGGCUUAUUUUAACAGGCAGUUGUGUGAUUACAUAAAAAAGUGCGUCUUCUAUGAAGAUCAUUUUUAGUCAGAUACUUGAAAAACUUCAGAAAACAAGACAAUUUUGGGGGCCUUCCAUGCACUUAACUUUUAUGAGAAAAAUAGCUUCACCUGCAUGAUCUAAUGAACAACAGUAAUGUAUUUGCUAUUUCUGGGUAUAAAUUAUUUCAGUGGACAAAAAUCAGAACACAGACACCCUCCCUUUUCUCUAGACGAAGCCAACAGGAAAGCCAGUUACACACACGCUGAGCUGAAAGGGAUGAAACUCCUCUUUACCAAAACCUUGCGUGUUCCUUAUCCUAUGGACAGAGCGGCUGUGUGUCACUUCUGUAUCCUCGGGAUAAAAUGAGCACUGAUACAAACUUCAAAGGAGAUCAACAUUUUGAUCUUUCGGUGGGUUGCAGUACAGAAAAGCAAGAUGCUUUCAUUGUUAACUCUCAUAGACACUUCCAAGCCAAGAAUUACUGCUCAAAGAAGUGCAGAAGAUAAAUAUGUUCAGUGUUCAUUUUGCAUGGACAACAAAGCUGGUGAAUGCUGGAGUCCUACAGAUUCUUGUACUGUGCCUAUACUCUGCUUCCUACUGUGUAAUAGUAGCUGUGCUGCAUGUUCCCCUGAAAUGCCCGCUGGGCACAGACAGCUCAUGCUGCAGUGACUGUGCAGCCAUCCACACAUCGGCCAGCUGACCAAGUUCUGUAAAAUGUCUGUAUUGAGGGUUUUUUCUCAUGUUGCUCAGUAAGCUGGAGAGUCUGUCCCCCAAACAGCUAUCAAUGUUUUCAAUAAAAUACCCCUCUUACUAUCACACUUGACUCUUCUACCUGAUCUAAAUGUAACAGAAUAUGGCCAGUAGGCCUGAAAGCUAUGGGGCAGGGUAACAACAGAUGGCUCAACAACAAAGAUCGUAUUUCUUUAGGAAGCUGGGAACGCUUCCCCAUCCCCAUUGUGUGGGCUGGAAAUGCUACAUUAAGACUCCCAGACAACCUUCUGUUUUAUGGCAAUUAAAUGUAAUACAAUAUUCUAAAGGCAUUAAAGGUAAUUUCCUUAUGUUGUUAUGACAGGGCCAAAUUAUUUUAAUGCCUACUAGAUAAUACUAGAUAAGUAAUUAAUAGUCACAUAUCUUAAUAUGAUAAUUCUAGAAUUUAAAUCUUUUGAAUAUGGGAUAAUCCAAAAUUCCUACAGAAUAUUUCCUUGUAAGUUGCUAAUAUGAAGUGGAUGGAGAGUGUAACGUCUGAAAGUUUAGUGAUUUAAAAUGCCAUAUAAAAGCAAGCUACUUUUUUUCUAAUUUUAGCACUAUCCUUUGUUACAGUUGAAUGUAGCUAUUCAGUCCUAAGAUCAGUUUUUUCUUAAGCCACAGGCUGCUGAAAAAAUUGAAGGCACGAAAAAAUCCUGUUGCUUGGUUAACUGCAGACAGUCCAAGUGUAGCUGUUUUAAAGGGUCUCAAUGCUUAUGAGGAUGAUAGCGUAAUGCACUUGUGCCUACCAUGUUAGCAUUGACAUGAAGGUUGUAGGUAAGUUCAAUUUUGUUCUCCAGUGCUACUAGCAGAAUUUUAAUAGCGAGAUUAUACUUAUACCUACAGUAACAGGGAGACCCACGAUGGCCAACAGGUCUGUGUAGGCCAAAAGAGAGCAGCGUUACCAUGACCGUGCCAUAGCUGUAAAGAAGUUAGUUGUGUCAGUGCACAUCAGUCAACAUACAAACGUUUAUGUAGGUUAAGUGACAGGUUAGUGUGUCCAGCUGGAUGUGAGCAAUAACUUAAUUCAGAAAUGCAGGAGUAGGAGUGUAAUUUAAAGUCACUUUUGUUGUCGGCCUUUGUCCUCCGUUCCUGAGGUGAAAGUGGCACUGGUCACAUCCCUUGAGAAACACAGGCCUGUUGGCUGGUCUCUGUAGCUUCACUUUAGACAGAAUGACAGAAACUGGUGGUUAAUCCCUCCACAAGCUAGCUCAGUGUGUUGUGUUGGCAGGAAAUUAUGGCUUGGUUUGACGGACGUAGGGCUUUUGUCAUUACUACUCAGUGCAGAAAAUGAAAGCACAGGGAGGCAAAGUCAGGCAGCAGGCCAGAGGGCAUGGCUUCCAAGUCUCUUCCACUGUCAGGCCACCUUGACCACAGGGCUUCAUGUGUCACUAUAAAUAGUGUAUAGGCCUCCAAGAUUUCAGUGUCAAAAUCAGUGGUAUUCUAAUGAACUCUGCCCUUCAUUUUCUCCCCUCCCAUCCCCCUUCGUAUUUUUUUGUCUCCUUCUCUCUGCAGGCACACUGAAUAUGUUUUCAGAUUUCAGAUAAAUUUGGAACAUUUUCAUUUAUAAUUCUAAUUAGUAGACAUGAGAGGACCUGACCUCUUUUAUAAUAACUGGAAAGGUUGAGUAAUUGAGGUCUGAGUAAUCAAGGUCAAAAUAUGAUGCUGAGCAUACAUCUUACAGUUACCUAGUUUGGACUUUACAACAUCACAGAUAUUAAACUACAAAAUCUUCAAAACACAAAGAUCUACUUUUUCUCUAUAAAGAAAUAAUAUAUACUUGUUUUUUAAACUGAAAAUUAUUAAUGGCACAGUGUCGUAACAUUUCACGUAGCUGAAGUGCAUCUGCUCAUCUUUAGGUCUAUUCACAUUAGCAAUAAUACUUAGGAUAAAGCUGCUUCUGUCUUUAGUACAGGAUCUGUUAUGUCAUGAGAAGUUCAGUGCCUGCAACAAGCACCAUUACAUAACGAUUCAUCCACACUAUCUAUUGGCAUGCAUUAGUCAACAAGGAUGAGAGGCGUACAGUUGUAUCAAUGGGGAUCAAUGUUCCUCUUUACAUGCUGCAUCAGAGAUAUGAAAAUGGGGCCAAGGAGCAGGUGGCCUGAUAUUUCUAAGGACAUUUCUUCUCUUUCCCCCUAAAAGGAAGAGUGAGAACAUCUCUGGUUCUCUUACACUCAUCUGUUUUCAAAGCUUGAUAGAAUUUGUUAGAGCAGGCUAUUACAGCAUUAUGACAACUCUGAACGUACAGCAUCCCAUCUGCAGUGAUAAUGCAGGAGAGAAGAGGGACAAAUUGGUCCGUGUGCAGUCCUCUGCAGUAGUACCCAUUCAAGUAAAGAUUUCAGAGCAAAAGAAAAGUGCUUACACAUGCCUGAGACAGUUAAACUAAACCUCUGUGAGCUUGUACAUAAUUAUCUCCACAAAGCUGCUUCCUGUCUUUUACAUCAACUACUUCAGUCAAGUAAUUAUUUUUCUUCAGAUUUGUGGAAAGAACAAGAUUGAAGUAAGGUGCUUCUAUCAGAAAAGGGUAAAAGGCAGCAAGAGAGCCAUUGUAAUAGAAACACUAUGGAUCCCCUGGCAAAGAACAGUUCAAGAGGGCAGGGCACAGCAUUUAAUUUGCUUCUCAGUAGGCCAUAAGCCCCCAUAAAAGCAGUUAUUGAAUACUUGUCCCUCAGUCUUCACUGGUGAGCUCACCAGGCACUUCUCCUGUGUUUUUCCUUUGCUGCUGUUUGUUCUGAUUUACUUUAAGCCUGUAGUCUAUGAAGCUGCCAUGUGGUGCUGCCUCGGAGUCAUCUUUAAUUUAAUGCCACAGACAGUAAUUAGAAGGGCAGCUCCGAAAGUAACGUCUCCUAUCUUAUGAUGUUGGAAGAAACAAGUACAAUUAACUGUUUGCAAAACGUAUUUUGUUUUCCUCCUGAUUUGCUGAAGUGAGUAAAAAAAAAUGUCUUGCUGUUCUAAAUUGCCUAGGUAGGUGCCACACUUUACAUUAUCUUGUCAUCGCAAUGCGUGCCUCUAAAAGCAAAGGGUUAUUGCUAUAACCUCAAUACUUCAAGUAUUCAUCCAGUGCUGCAAUGCAAGGAACUUCUUGUGCCUGCAGUUUUAUUCAUUUAGCUACUGCACUCGCCUUUCUUUCUAUACAGCUUAUUUCUGACUCAUCUUCUUACAACAUCCAAGAUAAAAAUAGGUAAUUGUUCCAUCUAAAUUCCCAUAAUCCUUGUACUCAAUAAACAUAAAGUCAUGUAACUGUUCUUAGUCAGGAUUGCACUAAUCAGUGCAACUGGCACUCCUGACCUUGUGAUAUCUAUCCUUACUAUGCCCAGGUCUGCUGUGCUGCCUGAUGCAGCAUAUAUCACACUUCCUUUCACAACCAAGUGCUGGAGAGAGAAAUGGGCACAUCAGAAAGUAAGCACCAAGAACUUUUUGCAAAGCAAUAGGUAUUUUUGUCACAUCUUUACCCUUGGGCUUGGCUCAGUAUUUUGGAUUUAUUUCACGUGGUCAACUAAAGGGCCACAAGUUAAAACCAGAGACCAAAUUUCAUAGACGCUUUAGGAAGACAGUAUUUUAAUGUGGGGGAUAAUUGCUAUUGGCAGUAGAUGUUUUUGCUGUAGGUGCUAACAUUCACUGUUUGAUUUAUGUAAGUUUCACUGGAGCCAGGAGAUCACUAAUGGUAAAUCCAUUACAAAAUCUAAACUCACUGUCAAGCUGUAUUUAAAUGAAUAUUUAAAUAAAUUAUGCUGACAGGCCAAUCAAUUCUCUGAAUGUUAUAAUAAAAAGCAGAAGGAAUGUAAGUGUGCAGGUGAUGAACCUACAGGAAUGAGAACAGAAAUUUAAGUAGCUCAGAGAAGUCCUCAGUCAUUGCAGAAUUGACAGGGCUAUAUAAAGCUAGGGAAGACAAGCAGAAAAAAAACCAAAUUGGGAUUUUAUUUGUUUUUAAACUACUCAUUAACACAAGAGGAAAGGCACAGCUAGUGUGAAGUCAGAGCAUUUAGAACUAAAGAAGCUUUCUCUCAAAACAAAUGAACUCUUAAAAGAACCUGUAGGCAGCCUGCAGUACCCGUCCACCUCCUCAGGCACAAAGAUGUGUCAGGACUACAAAAUAGGACACUAAGGAGGCAGACUGCAAGGAAAACAAAAUAGGGAUACAAGUUUCAGUAGGGCAGGACAUAAGCCAGCUUCUAAUGGGAAGGUUGGAAAGAAAUGACCCUAUACAUAGCAAGGUUACUUGACACUCAUCCACGCAAAGAUCCUUGCAGUUUGCCCUGAGGCUCUGAGAACAGCUAUUCUUGGUGAAGAUAGUGGCUUGGACAUAUCUGGGACCUGACUCACAGGCAGCUUCUGUGGUCUGUAUUUACAUAAUGAAGGCAGGCAUUUGAAGAGUUACUCCAGAUACUGAACAGUCUGAAAAAAAUAGUAUUUUAUUUGUUGCUAUAUUUUGCAGUUCGGGAUCUUAAUAAGUCCAGGGCAGAAACUUUGCGUUGAAAAAUUAAAGAAUAAGAAAUUGGCCAUAUAAUUACUAGUAAAACAGCAAGAUUUGUAGACAGUCAGACCAAAAGCCAAUCAGGAUAACAUCUGGUCUAGUUACCUGCAUCAUGGCGGUCACAACCUCCCCCGAGUAAUUUGGUUAAACAGCACCUACUUCUGUCUCAGCUCCACAGCAAAGUUUUUAAGAUGCCAGUUUUAACUUCAAGAGUAAAGGAGCACAUACAACCCCUUAGGGCCGUUUCUUCUGCACAGAGCUGCGGCAUCUUUCAUCUUUUCUUCAAGACUGUAGUCAGUGAUGGAAACUAACUGCAGAGGGCUUGCAUGUAGUGUUCAACUUUCUUUGUGAUAAAAUAAAUGGAGUAGACUUCUUUAUCCCCUUAAAACAGCUUUUUUUUUUUUCUUCUUCUUUUUUCUUUU